rnacentral:rRNA from 1 species
ACGCUGGCGGCAGGCUUAACACAUGCAAGUCGAACGGUAGCAGGAGGAAGCUUGCUUUCUUGCUGACGAGUGGCGGACGGGUGAGUAAUGCUUGGGAAUCUGGCUUAUGGAGGGGGAUAACUACGGGAAACUGUAGCUAAUACCGCGUAGUGUCGAGAGACGAAAGUGCGGGACCGCAAGGCCGCAUGCCAUGAGAUGAGCCCAAGUGGGAUUAGGUAGUUGGUGGGGUAAAGGCCUACCAAGCCUGCGAUCUCUAGCUGGUCUGAGAGGAUGGCCAGCCACACUGGAACUGAGACACGGUCCAGACUCCUACGGGAGGCAGCAGUGGGGAAUAUUGCGCAAUGGGGGGAACCCUGACGCAGCCAUGCCGCGUGAAUGAAGAAGGCCUUCGGGUUGUAAAGUUCUUUCGGUAUUGAGGAAGGAGUGUAUGUUAAUAGCAUACAUUAUUGACGUUAAAUACAGAAGAAGCACCGGCUAACUCCGUGCCAGCAGCCGCGGUAAUACGGAGGGUGCGAGCGUUAAUCGGAAUAACUGGGCGUAAAGGGCACGCAGGCGGUUAUUUAAGUGAGGUGUGAAAGCCCCGGGCUUAACCUGGGAAUUGCAUUUCAGACUGGGUAACUAGAGUACUUUAGGGAGGGGUAGAAUUCCACGUGUAGCGGUGAAAUGCGUAGAGAUGUGGAGGAAUACCGAAGGCGAAGGCAGCCCCUUGGGAAUGUACUGACGCUCAUGUGCGAAAGCGUGGGGAGCAAACAGGAUUAGAUACCCUGGUAGUCCACGCUGUAAACGCUGUCGAUUUGGGGAUUGGGCUUAAAGCUUGGUGCCCGUAGCUAACGUGAUAAAUCGACCGCCUGGGGAGUACGGCCGCAAGGUUAAAACUCAAAUGAAUUGACGGGGGCCCGCACAAGCG